rnacentral:rRNA from 1 species
AUUGAACGCUGGCGGCAUGCUUUACACAUGCAAGUCGAACGGUAACAGGGAGCUUGCUCCGCUGACGAGUGGCGAACGGGUGAGUAAUGCAUCGGAACGUACCCAGUCGUGGGGGGAUAACGUAGCGAAAGUUACGCUAAUACCGCAUACGUCCUGAGGGAGAAAGCGGGGGACCGUAAGGCCUCGCGCGAUUGGAGCGGCCGAUGUCGGAUUAGCUAGUUGGUAGGGUAAAGGCCUACCAAGGCGACGAUCCGUAGCGGGUCUGAGAGGAUGAUCCGCCACACUGGGACUGAGACACGGCCCAGACUCCUACGGGAGGCAGCAGUGGGGAAUUUUGGACAAUGGGCGAAAGCCUGAUCCAGCCAUGCCGCGUGAGUGAAGAAGG